UGAACAGAAGGCAACAAGAGCUCGCCUGAUGGAAAUAACAUUCCCCAUCCCUGCCCAGGCAGGCUGCUCAGCACCUUCUCAGGGGCUAACACUGGAGUGCCUUCCCCACGGGGACGGAGCCGUGCACGAACAACCCUCUCAGGGCUAAGUCAGCUUCAGCUUUGUGUGUAAGUCCACUCGGCGCCAUAUGGCAGUUUGCAAUUCCUUUCGCAACUCAAGUCUGGCUAGGCUGCCGCGAUGAUUCAUUCUUACAAGGAAGACCCCUUCGGGGAGCAGCAAAGCCCCUUCACUUACCUAGCUCCCACAGACCCCGCUCAGCAGGCGGCACGGGCUCGGGCACCACAAAGGGUUGUGGGAUUCCCCGCUCCCUCCGGGGCUCCUCUCCCUGCGACGGUCCCCUUCGCCAAUGAUCUGUCGCUGGAAAUCCCCCUCCCCUCCACGGAGAGGAGGGUCUCCCCGGCUGGCUGGAGCUCCUGGCGUUUUUCCCCCUCUCCUCACAUCCCUGACUCUGUUCACGGUCUCUAGCAGGAAAGCUCAAAGGAGAGGCGGCGGGAGGAAGCUAAGUAUGGAAACCUGGUUAAGAGAAAUGUGGGAGCUGCCAACCGCGAUCUACCUAAAGAAAAGAAAAGGAAAGAAAAGAAAAAAUGCAUUCCUGGUCCUAAAGGGGGAUGGAGAGAGAGAAUACAAGCAGGCAGAACAGCAGGCAGAGGGAGAGAGAGAAACAGGGUCCCCAUGGAGGAGGGAGCCCAAUGUGGGGCCAUGGACCAUGACCUGAGCUGAAGACAACUGCUUAGCUGACUGAGCCACCUAAGUGCCCCUGAUUUUAACGGUUUUUAAGUGUAUAGUUAAGUGGCAUUAAGUACAUUCAAUUGUUCGCAACCAUCACUAUUAUUCAUCUCCAGAACUUUCUCAUCAUCCCCAACUGAAACUCUAUAACAUUAAGCAGCAAAUACACAUUGCUCCCUUCCCUCAGACCCUGAUAACUACUAUUCAACUUUCUACCUUUAUGAAUUAGACUAUUCCAGGUACCUUAUAGAGGAAUCAUACAAUAUUUGACCUUUGUAUUUGGUUUAUGUUACUUGUUUUCAAGGCCCAUCCCUGUUGUAGCAUGUAUCAAAAUGCCAUCUCUUAAAAAAAAAAUGUCAUCUCUUCAAUGGCUGAAUAAUGUUCCAUUGUAUGUAUGUAUCACAUUUUGUUUAUCCAUUCAUCUGUCAAUGGAAGUUUGGUUUAUUUCUACCUUUUGGCUAUUGUGAAUAAUACUGCUGUGAAUAUUGGUGUACAAAUAUCUGUUUGAGUCCCUGAUUUAAAUUCUUUUGAAUAAUACCCAGAAGUAGAAUUUCUGAUAUAUGUUUAAUUUUAUUAAGGAGCUGUAAUACUGUUUUGCACAGCAGCUGCACUGUUUUACAUUCACACCAGCAACGCACAAGCAUUCCAGUUUCUCUACAUCUUGACCAACACGUGUUACUUUUGUAUUUGUUUGUUUAUAAUAACCAUCUUAGGGUAUGAAGUGGUAUCACAUUGUGGUUUUGAUUUUCAUUAAUACUUAGUGAUGUUAAGCAUCUUUUCCUGUGUUUAUUGAGCAUUUAUGUCUUUUCUUUAAAGAACUGCCUAUUCAAACUCUUUGCCUAUUUUUUCUCCAGUUUGGAAUAUAAGGUUUUAUUGUAACUCUUUGGUUUUGUCUGUUUUUUUUUUUUCCUUUGCCUAUUUUUUUUUAAUUGGGUUGUUUUUGUUGUUGAGUUGUAGGAGUUCCUUAUAUAUUAUGAAUAUUAAUACCUUAUCAGAUGGUUUGUAAAUAUUUUCUCCAAUUGUGUGGGUUGCCUUUUUAAUCUGUUGAUCGGGCUCUUUGAUAUUUUAAAGCUUUUGAUUUUGAUGAUGUCUAUUAAUUUUUUUGCCUAUAUUUUUGAUGUCUUUCCAAGUUCAAUGUGAUAAAGAUUUCCUUGUAUGUUUACUUCUAAGAAUUUAAUAGUUUUAGCUCUUAUGUUUAGGCCUUUGAUUCAUUUUGAUCCAGUAAUUUUUGCAUGUAAUAUAAAGUAAGGGUCCAAGUUCAUUUUUAGCAUGGAAUAUCCAGUUUUCCUAGCACUAUUGGUUAAAAAGACUAUCCUUUUUCCAUUGCAUGAUCUUGACACCCAUGUUAAAAAUAAUUUGACCAUGUGUGUGAGGGUUUGUUUGGGGC
rnacentral:lncRNA from 1 species